GGGCCCAUAGCUUAGCCUGGCUGGAGCACCGGUCUUAUAAGCCGGGGGUCCGGGGUUCAAAUGAGACUUUUGCGAUUGCAAAUUUCUUGAAAAUCCCUGUGGGCCCA
rnacentral:tRNA from 1 species